rnacentral:rRNA from 1 species
AUGGAGGCGGCGCGCGCCAAGGACACCAAGGAGCGCCUGGCCGGGGUGGAGCGCCUGCACGAGGCGCUCGACGCGGCGGCGCGCCGCGGCCUCUCCCCGGCCGAGGUCACCUCGCUGGUGGACACCUGCGUGGAUCUGACGCGGGACGCCAACUUCCGCGUCGCGCAGGGGGGGCUGCAGGCGCUCUCCGCCGCCGCCGUGCUCGCCGGGGACCACUUCAAGAUCCACCUCAACGCGCUCGUCCCCGCCGCCGUCGAGCGCCUCGGCGACGGCAAGCAGCCCGUCCGCGAGGCCGCGCGCCAGCUCCUCGUCACGCUCAUGGAGGUUUCUUCACCAACAAUCAUUCUCGAAAGGGCCGGAAAUUAUGCAUGGACUCAUAAGAGUUGGAGGGUUCGGGAAGAGUUUGUACUUACAGUGGCAACUGCAGUUGGGCUUUUCGCUUCUACGGAGCUUCUCAUGCAACGAGUUUUACUCUCACCCGUCCUACAGUUGAUGAAUGAUUCGAACCAAAGUGUCAGAGAAGCUGCUAUAUCUUGUAUUGAGGAAAUGUACAAGAACAUGGGAUCUCAGUUCCACGAAGAGUUGCAGCGCCAUAAUCUGCCUACAUACAUGCUAAAAGAAAUAAAUUCAAGAUUGAAUAGAAUUGAACCAAAGGUUCCCGCAUCUGAUGGUACUGCAACACAGCAUAAAGUUGCAGCAUCUAGAUCCGUUAGUGUUAACCCAAAAAGAGGCAGCCCACGGACAAAAAGCACACCGAGGGAAAGCACAUUAUUUGGAGGUAAUCUGAUUGGUGAAGUGCAGGAUUCACUGGCAAAGGAAGCUGAGAAAGAUAAACAAAUUGCUUCGGAGGAGGAGGAGGAAGAAGAGUAUGUCUUGCUAGAGUUAGAUGAUGUUCAUUAUUCCUGCAUACAACCAAAUGCCCCUUAUAUACUCUCUGGUUUGGAUACAUUGACUCCUACCUUGGUAGUAGGUGAUAGCCUGAAGAUGAUUGGAGAAUAUGAAGAAACGGUUGGCCCAUGCUAUUUAUUUUCAGAAAGUGAUGCUCCACCAAAGCCCGUUCAUGAAGAGCCGGCACCUCCCAAAGAAAACAAGGACAAGCAAGGCAGAAACAUCAAGGAGGUGAAACAUGUGACGAGCGUUCACAAGAUGCUCAAAUUCCGGUCGACCGGUGAGGGUCGUCAGGAGCACAGAGCAUACCGUUACAGGGACAAGGAGUUUUGA